rnacentral:rRNA from 1 species
GAAUUUUAUAUAAAUUUUGAUUGAAGGCUUGUAAAAAUUAGAAUUUAUAUUUGGUUGGGAGGAUUGUUAAAUUUAAUAAACUUUAAUAAUAAAAAACAUUAAUUUAUGAUUUAAAUUUAAUUAAAUGAUUAGGAUUAUAUAAUUCUAUUAAAGAAGUAAUUACCUCAGGGAUAACAGCGUAAUAUUUUUAAAAAGAUCUUAUUGAUAAAAGUGAUUGC